CUGGUGUCAGCCGCCGUGGUAAUACCAGCACCCCGAGUGGUCGGGACGAUUAUUGGGCCUAAAGCAUCCGUAGCCGGUACUGCAAGUCUUCCGUUAAAUCCACCUGCUCAACAGUUGGGCUGCGGGGGAUACUACAGCGCUAGGAGGCGGGAGAGGCAAGCGGUACUUAAUGGGUAGGGGUAAAAUCCACUGAUCCAUUGAAGACCACCAGUGGCGAAGGCGGCUUGCCAGAACGCGCUCGACGGUGAGGGAUGAAAGCUGGGGGAGCAAACCGGAUUAGAUACCCGGGUAGUCCCAGCUGUAAACGAUGCAGACUCGGUGAUGGGCUGGCCUUGUGCCAACCCAGUGCCGCAGGGAAGCCGUUAAGUCUGCCGCCUGGGGAGUACGGUCGCAUGACUGAAACUUAAAG
rnacentral:rRNA from 2 species